CCCCGCUCUGGGCCCGGCUGGCGUUGCUGAGUGCUCGGAGUUACCUGAGCCCGCGCUGUAGGGGUGACCCUCACCCACCGCGGGAGUUGCUAAUGUCGGUGACAUGGAUGCUGUGAUAGGUCAGAUCUUUGCCUUGGAAUGAAAUUCUUUUGAUAAAGUCACUUAGAGGAGACAGAAUCUGCACUGAAAUCUCUGUUUGGUGAGGUCACAGUUUCUGCUGCUUUCCUGCUCUUGCAAAUCUCGAGCACCCGCUUCUGCCCUGUUUUCAGACAGAAUGAUGUGUUUACUGCUAUCGCCUCAAAAAACUUUGAACCACCUCGCCAGGCUUCAGCCUGCACGCAGCCGUGUUUAAACAUUACCAGGAGAAAAGACACCUUUGGAGAUUCCAUCAGCCUCAUGUUCAUCCAGAGGUGUGCUCUGCAAGAACCAAGCUUCACAUACAGAUUUUAAGGAAUCUUUGUUUUUAUUCUCUUCCAAGUUUACGGAAACCUGAAGAAGGCUCAGACCAGGUCACGUGCGGUUAGGAGCUACAUGAAAGCUUGAUAUUGCGGCCCACUGGCCCCCUAGCCCUCCUUCCCCCAUCCCAAGUUUAAGGCAGCCAGGAACAAAAACAAACUAGGUGGCCAACUUGAUAAGGGUUUUAAUUUUUUUUGUUUUUUCUGAAAUGUCUUUGUCAGAUUUAGUACAAGGAACAUUCUCCCUUAUAUAUGUGUAAAAUACCCUGCCAUAUGUUAUUUCUGAAAGCACAUGUGUGAGAUUGCAAUCUUUUCUUACCUAAAUGUUUAACAGAGCUCAGAGGGAAGAUGUAGAUGACAAAUUCAAUUUCUUUAAUAGAUACGGGAUCUGUCAAAAUUUUUUAUUUCAUCUUGUAUCAGUUUUAGUAAGGUGUAUUGUUCAAGGAAUGUGUUCUUCCUUCUAAACUGUUGAAUUUAUUACAUAUUAUUUGUUCUGGGAUUUGUAAUAAAUUCACAUAUUUAUUCUUGCUAUUGGUGAUUUCUCUCAUUUUUUUCUUAAUCAAUUUAUCUAAUGUUUAUCAACUUUUUUAUCUUUUCCCCAAGAAAACCCUAAAAUGUUUUAUCUGUGUUCAUAUUCUCUAUAAUUUGUCUGUUUUCUAUUUCAGUGAUUUCUCCUCUUAUCUUUAUUAUUUCCUUCCUUCUACUUACUUGGGAUAUACUUUGCUCUCGUUUCUCUAGGUCUUACUGUGGAAACUAAAGUCAUUUAUUGUAUACCUUUCUUUUUUCCUGUCUUAGCAUUUAAAAGCUAUAAACUUUUCUCUAAGCGUUACUUUAACUGUACCCCAGAAAUUUUGCUAUGUAAUAUUUUCAUUAUCAUCAGGUUUGAAAUAUUUCUAGUGUGUCUUGCAACUUUUUUCUUCAGUCUUUGAAUUAUUAGUAAGCAUGUUCUUUGAUUUCCAAAGAUAAGGAGUAUAUCACCCCUUAGAUAUCUUAAUGUUCUCAGUUUCUAAUUUAAUUCCCCUGUGGUCAGAAAACAUUGUCUUAUUCCAGUCCUCUUAUAACAAAUGUAUUGAGACUAGUUUUAUGGACCAUAAUGGUUUAUUUCAGUAAACAUAACAUGUGCACUUGAAAAUAAUGUUUAUCCUGUGAUUAUUUGGCAUCGUGUUCUAUAAAUGACAAUUAGGUCAAAGAGAUUGAUAGUGUCAUUCAAAUCUUGUACCCAUUCCUCCUCUGGAUUGCUGAGAGAGUGGUGUUAAAAUCUCCAACUAUCUUUAUGAAUUUGUCUCUUUUUCUCUAUAAUUCUGUUACCUUUUCACCUCAUGCUUUUUGAACCUCUUUUAUUAGGCACGUAGACAUGUAUGACUCUUAACAUCUUUUUGAAAAUUUAUCCUUUCAUUAUUAUAGUAUAUCUGUCUUUAUCUCUGGUAAUACUCUUUGUCUUAACAUCUAUUAUAUCUAAUGUUGAUGUAACCACUCCAACCCCCUUAGACUGUUUGCAGUACCAUCAUUUAUUUUCAACAUAUCUGUAUUGUUAAAGUUCAUCUUUGUGGAGAAACUAUGUCUGGUCCUAAUUUCUUAUCUUUUCUGAGAAUUUCUGAUUACUGGUUGGAAGUGUUUAGUUUAUUUACAUUUAAUCCAACUAUUGAUAUGGUUGAGUUUAGAACAACAGGUUUUUUAAUGUUUUCUAUUGGUCCUGUCUGAUUUUUGUUUGUUUGUCUUUUUGAUUCUCUGUUCCUACUUUCUUAAUUUAUUUAGGCUUAAUUGAAUCUUUUUGAGAAUUCCUUGUUAAUAGAUUUUGGCUUUUUAGUUAUACCACUUUGUAUUGUUUCAAAAGAUUUCUUCCUGAUACUGAAGAAAAUGUAAGCUAUCUGCUCUUACCACUCCUAAUCAGUGUCAUACUAAUGUUCUUACCUAGUGUAAGAAGGCAAGAAAAAGAAGUAAAAUGACAUGCAGAUUGGAAAGGAAUAAAACUCUUCUACUUACAAAUGACAUAUUAUCUACAUAGAAAAUUCCAUAAUGUAUAAAAAUGUUAUACAAAUUUUAAUUUAGUUUAGAAGAUUUUAGGAUACAGGUCAAUUGUAUUUCUAUACCCUAGUAAUGACUAAUUGGAAAAUGGAAUUUAAAAAAACAAUAUCAUCUACAGUAGAAUAAAAAAAAUGAAAUAUUUAGACAUAAUUCUAAUAAAAUAUUUAUACAAUCUCUGUGUUAAAACUAAAAAACACUGAUGCAAUAAAUGAAAGAGUG